CCCUUAGAUGUUCUGGGCCGCACGCGCGCUACACUGAUGCAUUCAACGAGUUUCUUCCUGGUCCGAGAGGAAUGGGUAACCUUUUGAAAGUGCAUCGUGAUAGGGAUAGACUAUUGCAAUUAUUGGUCUUCAACGAGGAAUUCCUAGUAGACGUAGUUCAUCAGACUGCAUCGAUUACGUCCCUACCCUUUGUACACACCGCCCGUCGCUCCUACCGAUUGAAUGCUCAGGUGAGCCAUUCGGACCUUCAUCAUGCCGGUUUCCGGUUUUGAUGAGGGAAAGUCUUGCGAACCUUAUCAUUUAGAGGAAGGAGAAGUCGUAACA
rnacentral:rRNA from 1 species